rnacentral:rRNA from 1 species
AUUGAACGCUGGCGGCAUGCCUUACACAUGCAAGUCGAACGGCAGCAUGGGUGCUUGCACCUGAUGGCGAGUGGCGAACGGGUGAGUAAUGCAUCGGAACGUACCCGGAAGUGGGGGAUAACGUAGCGAAAGUUACGCUAAUACCGCAUAUUCUGUGAGCAGGAAAGUGGGGGAUCGCAAGACCUCGCGCUUCCGGAGCGGCCGAUGUCGGAUUAGCUAGUUGGCGGGGUAAAGGCCCACCAAGGCAACGAUCCGUAGCGGGUCUGAGAGGAUGAUCGGCCACAAUGGGACUGAGACACGGCCCAGACUCCUACGGGAGGCAGCAGUGGGGAAUUUUGGACAAUGGGGGCAACCCUGAUCCAGCCAUGCCGCGUGAGUGAAGAAGGCCUUCGGGUUGUAAAGCUCUUUCGGCCGGGAAGAAAUCGCACAGGUUAAUACCUUGUGUGGAUGACGGUACCGGAAUAAGAAGCACCGGCUAACUACGUGCCAGCAGCCGCCGUAAGAC